AGAGUUUGAUCCUGGCUCAGGAUAAACGCUGGCGGCGUGCCUAACACAUGCAAGUCGAACGCGCAGCAGAGGCAACUCUGGUGUGAGUGGCGGACGGGUGAGGAACACGUGGGUACCUGUCCCCUGGUGAGGAAUACCGGCGAGAAAUCGCCGACAAUACCGCAUAGGUUUGGAUGACUCCAAACAAAGCUCGGGCAACU
rnacentral:rRNA from 1 species